rfam:Ornithorhynchus anatinus chromosome 4, whole genome shotgun sequence.
ACCCUCUCAGGGUCACACCUAGAGAGUUUCCGGUACUCUACAAGUCUUGACUACGGGAGGGAGAGUCAAGCAGAGGCCUAACCAUUCCAUUCCUAGAGUGGCCAGUGGCUAGCGAGUGGAAGGCAAUCUGCUACAAGU